rnacentral:rRNA from 1 species
AUGAGCUCAGGCGUCACUGGCCCUCUGAAUGCCGUUUAUGACAUGCUUCUUGCCAGCAUUUACUCACGCAGGCUUCCAUUAGAAAAAGAUUGCCACCGUAACUGCGCAGAUGUUGUACGGUUCACUUUUACACCUGCUUCUUAUGGGCAAGACUUUUCUCUUCUUGACCUCUUCAUCCUAAAAAAAUGUUCUGUCUUCUUACAGUCUCCUCGGUUUUGUUUUCUAGGUUCUUUUUUCAUCUUUAUCUCACUUGACUUGUGGGAUUCGAUUGAUUGGCACGUUUUUUUGGCAAAUAGAUUGAUUGGCACCUUGAGCAUUCUUUCAACUAAGUUGGUCGUCUUAAUAUCUUAG